rnacentral:lncRNA from 1 species
UUCCAUCUCCCCACAGUUGGGCAUUUCGGCUAAGUCCAUCCCCAUUGGUUCCUGGGAGCUUCUCACAUCCCUGGUGUCUGGGACUUUCUAGAGGUUUCCCUGGUCCUCCAUACCUUGCAGCUGCAUGUUUCUAUUCAUUCUCCUGACCCUCUGGCCUUCUCUACUGUCUUCCACAUACCUGAUCCUGGUCCCCUUUUACUCUCACCUUCACUUAUCCCACACAGGUCCUUCCCUCCCUCUGCCUCCCAUGAUUAUUUUGUUCCCCCUUCUAAGUGGGAUUGAACCAUCCACACUUGGGCCUUCCUUCAUGUUAAACUUCUUAUGGUCUGUGGGUUGUUUGUGUAUUCUGCACUUUUUUUUUUUUGAUUAAUAUCCACUUAUCAGUGAAUACAUAACAUGUAUGUCCUUUGAGGUCUGAGUUACCUCACUCAGGAUGAUAUUUUCUAGUUCCUUCCAUUUGUCUGCAAAAUUCACAAUGUCCUCAUGAUUAAUAGCUGAGUAAUAUUCCAUUGUGUAAAUGAACCACAUUUUCUGUAUCCAUUCUUCAGUUGAGGGACAUAUGGGUUGUUUUCAGCUUCUGGCUAUUAUAAAUUACGCUGCUAUUGUCAUAGUGGAGCAUGUGUCCUUGUGGUAUGGUGGAACAACUUUUCUGUAUAUACCCAGGAGAGGUAUAUCUUCAGGUAGAUCUAUUUCCAAUUUUCUGAACUGCCAGAUUGAUUUCCAGAGUCAUUGUACCAUUUUUCAGUCCUACCUAUAAUGAGGAGUGUUCCUUAUUCUCCACAUCCUCUCGAGAAUGUGCUGGCAUUUGCGUUUUUGACCUUAGCCGUUCUGAUUGGUGUAAGGUCAAACUCAGGGUACAAUUUAUUUUGUUAACCCUCCCCACCUCUGGUCAUCGUCCCUUUUGGUGUUUCCAUUUGAACCUUGCCUCUCUAUUUUCUCUGAUUUUCCCCUUCUAUGCCAGUACCACAGAGUUUCCAUUAGCCUCUGAUGUCCCUUCAUGGGCCUCUUACACAUUUUCUGACAGAUAUGCACGCUCGCUCUCAUGUAAACAUAUACAUAAUAAUUAGAAAUGAAAACUUGCAUCUGAGAAAGCAUGAGAAAGUCUCUCCCUGUGAGUUUCAGUUACCAUGCAUAAUAUAUUUUUCCAGCUCAAGCCAUUUAAGAAUUCAUUUUAUUUUGCAUUGAGUGAGAGUUAAUUUAAUAGAAUAUGGAAGAACAACGUGAAUGGAUGUUUAUGCUAAGUUCUUAACAUAAUUUUGGCAUCUAUUAUUCCUCUUUAUGAAGAUUUUGAAUUUAGUAUUCCCAUGAAAGUCAAGGACAUUGUUUGCAACUUACACUUUCAUUUUAUACAAUGUUUAAAAAUGAAACCUUUAUUCUAAAUUUUAAGGCAUGCUUAAUUUGGAUAAUUUAAAAAUAAUUUUUAAACAUUUCAUAGUACUUAUAACUUUUGUUAGUAUUACAUCUCACCUAAUCUGCAUUACAGUUUGUAUAAGGACGUGGACUGUAAUAGUUCUCUAGUCCAUAUUCAGGUUUUUUUGUUUGUUUGUUUGUUUUUGUGUUUUGUUUUUGUUUUGUUUUUUACAGAGGGCUGUACAGGGCUGUAUGCAUACAUGUCAGCAUGGUCAAGUAUCUGUCAUCACAUGGUAAUAUUGAUUAUUUCAUUAGCAUAUUUAUGAAGAAGGUGGAUUUGAAAAAUAUUGUCAAUAUAGGUCACUUUUAGUCUUUAAGUAAAUGAGAUGGAUUAUUACAUCUGACAUUUGCUCUGACUUUAAUUUCUAUUAUAGAAUAUCAGUUAAAAUUGUAUGGUGCAUUGUAUUUUGUCUUAUCUUGCUUGUGAUAUUGAUAAAAAUUUAUUUAAGUAAGAUAUGUUACCAAUAGAGAAUCAGCUUUGUUUUAAAAAUACUGCCUUGCAAAGUAUGUGACUUUAUGCCUAGAUCUACAGCUUUUAAGAAAAGAUAUAUUUCAAGUAGGUAAUUUUUGCUGGAUGUGAGUCUUUAAGACAAAAAAAUAAAAAAUCAAUGGCUUGUAAGGUCAUCCUGUUUUUCUGAAAGUACCUAAAAUGACAAAAACCCUAUCACAGUGUUUUUGACAUAAACUCAGUGGAAUGCAGACCACUCUAGGUGUGAGUAGAAUGAAAAAAAAAAGUGAAAGAUAUUUGGAAAACCACAGUGGGGUGAAAGCAGGGGUCAGCUUGUUAGGGUUUUAUGCAUCUUCAGUGAAAAAUUACAUAAGAGUCUUUAUCAGGGAAGGGCCAGGGUAUAACACCAUCUUACCUACAAGUUCUCAGCAUUUGCCAGCAGCCGUUUUACUUAGGGUUUUACUUCUGUGAACAGACACCAUGACCAAGGCAACUCUUAUAUAGACACAUCUACUUGCAGUUAGCUUACAGGUUCAGAGGUUCAGUCCACUAUCAGCAAGGUGGAAGCACGGCUCCAUUCAGGCAGGCAUGGUGCAGGAGAUGCUGAGAGUUCUACAUCUUCAUCUGAAGGCUGCUAGAAGACAGGCUUUCAGGCAGACAGGACUAGGUUGAGAGUAUUAAAGCCCAUGCCCACAGUAACACACCUACUCCAAGGCCACACCCACUCCAUCAAGGCCACACCUCCUAAUAGUCCCACUCACUGGGUCAAGCAUAUUCAAACUGCCACACCAGCUUAGAAACAUUUGCCAAAUGGUCAGGAUGGAGGAAGACAGAAACAAUUGUCUUACGCUUAUUCCAGUUCACUUGAUGACUGGAAAUUAGCUGGCCUCAGCUUUCAUGGAUGUAUUUCCUUCCCUUAAAAACUGUAUUUUGGAGUAGGCGAGCAGUCGAGUUCAGUAGUGUCAGCUCUCCGCAGUUUGAUGGUAACAAGUUUAGCUCUGCCUAGUUCUCUUUCUAAGGCAGUAAACGCUUCAGCCUGUCUCACUAGGAGAAAGACUUUGCAUUUCUAUUUCAUCAGCGUUUACAUCUUGGAACUAUGAUAGAUAUUAUGGACCUGAUGAUAUUAGAAAGUAUUAACUUGAGCUAUUCGAUCACUUGUGGUUUAAAAGGUAAAAAUAUAUAACUUGAAUUGAAUAGGUAAAAGGGAAUACAGUGUUUAUUUAAAGAUGUUGUGAUGACAUUCAUUUCUAUUGUUAAAAAUUUUUAUAUUUAAUGCAUUCUGAGUAUGUUUUACCCUUACUCUAUGCUACCCAAUGCGUCCCCUCAUCCAGAUCCACCCUGUACCUGCAUUUAAUUAGAAAACAGAAGGUUUCUUAGGAAAUAAUGAUAAAAUGAAAUUUAGUAAGAUCAGCAUAGGACAAAACAAACAGAAGGAAAAAAAGUGUAAGGGAAGGCACAGGAAACAGAUCCACUACUUCAUAUACUCAGGAAUCCCACAAAAAAUGAAACCGGAAGCCAUAGUAUAUACCCAAAGGACCUGUAGGGUUGGUUAUAAAGAGAAAGAACCAGGCAGUGGUGGCAUAUGCCUUUAAUCCUAGCACUUGGGAAGCAGAGGCAGGCAGAUUUCUGAAUUCAAGGCCAGCCUGGUCUACAGAGUGAGUUCCAGGAUAGCCAGGACUACACAAAGAAACUCUGUUUCAAAAAACCAAGAGAGAGAGAGAGAAGACCAAUAGAUAGAUAGAUAGAUAGAUAGAUAGAUAGAUAGAUAGAUAGAUAGAUAGAUAGAUAGAUAGAUAGAUAGACAAAUAAAUAAAUAAGU